UACAGAGGUCUCAAGCGUUGUUCGGAUUCAUUGGGCGUAAAGGGCGCGUAGGCGGCGGGGUAAGUCGGGUGUGAAAUCUCAGGGCUCAACCCUGAAACUGCACUUGAUACUGCUCUGCUUGAGGACUGGAGAGGAGACUGGAAUUCACGGUGUAGCAGUGAAAUGCGUAGAUAUCGUGAGGAAGACCAGUGGCGAAGGCGGGUCUCUGGACAGUUCCUGACGCUGAGGCGCGAAGGCCAGGGGAGCAAACGGG
rnacentral:rRNA from 1 species